rnacentral:rRNA from 1 species
AGAGUUUGAUCAUGGCUCAGAUUGAACGCUGGCGGCAGGCCUAACACAUGCAAGUCGAACGGUAACAGGAAGCAGCUUGCUGCUUUGCUGACGAGUGGCGGACGGGUGAGUAAUGUCUGGGAAACUGCCUGAUGGAGGGGGAUAACUACUGGAAACGGUAGCUAAUACCGCAUAACGUCGCAAGACCAAAGAGGGGGACCUUGCUCACCUAGGCGACGAUCCCUAGCUGGUCUGAGAGGAUGACCAGCCACACUGGAACUGAGACACGGUCCAGACUCCUACGGGAGGCAGCAGUGGGGAAUAUUGCACAAUGGGCGCAAGCCUGAUGCAGCCAUGCCGCGUGUAUGAAGAAGGCCUUCGGGUUGUAAAGUACUUUCAGCGGGGAGGAAGGGAGUAAAGUUAAUACCUUUGCUCAUUGACGUUACCCGCAGAAGAAGCACCGGCUAACUCCGUGCCAGCAGCCGCGGUAAUACGGAGGGUGCAAGCGUUAAUCGGAAUUACUGGGCGUAAAGCGCACGCAGGCGGUUUGUUAAGUCAGAUGUGAAAUCCCCGGGCUCAACCUGGGAACUGCAUCUGAUACUGGCAAGCUUGAGUCUCGUAGAGGGGGGUAGAAUUCCAGGUGUAGCGGUGAAAUGCGUAGAGAUCUGGAGGAAUACCGGUGGCGAAGGCGGCCCCCUGGACGAAGACUGACGCUCAGGUGCGAAAGCGUGGGGAGCAAACAGGAUUAGAUACCCUGGUAGUCCACGCCGUAAACGAUGUCGACUUGGAGGUUGUGCCCUUGAGGCGUGGCUUCCGGAGCUAACGCGUUAAGUCGACCGCCUGGGGAGUACGGCCGCAAGGUUAAAACUCAAAUGAAUUGACGGGGGCCCGCACAAGCGGUGGAGCAUGUGGUUUAAUUCGAUGCAACGCGAAGAACCUUACCUGGUCUUGACAUCCACGGAAGUUUUCAGAGAUGAGAAUGUGCCUUCGGGAACCGUGAGACAGGUGCUGCAUGGCUGUCGUCAGCUCGUGUUGUGAAAUGUUGGGUUAAGUCCCGCAACGAGCGCAACCCUUAUCCUUUGUUGCCAGCGGUCCGGCCGGGAACUCAAAGGAGACUGCCAGUGAUAAACUGGAGGAAGGUGGGGAUGACGUCAAGUCAUCAUGGCCCUUACGACCAGGGCUACACACGUGCUACAAUGGCGCAUACAAAGAGAAGCGACCUCGCGAGAGCAAGCGGACCUCAUAAAGUGCGUCGUAGUCCGGAUUGGAGUCUGCAACUCGACUCCAUGAAGUCGGAAUCGCUAGUAAUCGUGGAUCAGAAUGCCACGGUGAAUACGUUCCCGGGCCUUGUACACACCGCCCGUCACACCAUGGGAGUGGGUUGCAAAAGAAGUAGGUAGCUUAACCUUCGGGAGGGCGCUUACCACUUUGUGAUUCAUGACUGGGGUGAAGUCGUAACAAGGUAACCGUAGGGGAACCUGCGGUUGGAUCACCU